rnacentral:rRNA from 1 species
CCCGGGUAGUCCUAGGUGUAAACGCUGUGGACUUGGUGUUGGGGAUUCUCCGAGGAUUCUCAGUGUCGAAGCGAAGGUGAUAAGUCCACUGCCUGGGGAGUACGGUCGCAAGGCUGAAACUUAAAGGAAUUGGCGGGGGAGCACUGCAACCUGAGGAUUGUGCGGUUUAAUUGGAUUCAACGCCGGAAAACUCACCAUAGCCGACGGACAAAUGAAAGCCAGUGUAACGAGCUUGCUGGAUUGUUCGAGAGGUAUUGCAUGGCCGCCGUCAGUUCGUACCGCAAGGCGUUCUGUUAAGUCAGAUAACGAACGAGACCCUCAUCCCUAUUUGCCAACUGCGUCUCCGGAUCGUAGCGCACUAUAGGGAGACCGCUGGCGCUAAGUCAGAUGAAGGCGAGGGCAACGGUAGGUCAGUAUGAUCCGAAUGCUAUGGGCUACACGCGCAAUACAAAGGACGGGACAAUGGGCUGCAACUCCGAGAGGAACGACGCUAUCCCGAAACCCGUUCGUAGUUCGGAUUGAGGGCUGUAAUUCGCCCUCAUGAAGCUGGAUUAGGUAGUAAUCGCGUCUCAAUAGGGCGCGGUGAAUAUGCCCCUGCUCCUUGCACACACCGCCCGUCAAACCAUCUUAGUUGGGGGUGGGUGAGGCUACCCAUGAAUGGGGUAUUCGAGCCUGCCUUCGACAAGGAGGGUUAAGUCGUAACAAGGUAUCUGUAGGGGAACCUGCAGAUG